CACGUAGGGGCAAGCGUUGUCCGGAUUUAUUGGCGUAAAGAGCUCGUAGGUGGUUCGGUAAGUCGGUGUUAAACCCCAGGCUCACUGGGACGCCACUCGAUACUGCUGUGACUUGAGUCCGGUAGGGGAGCGUGGAAUUCCUGGUGUAGCGGUGAAAUGCGCAGAUAUCAGGAGAACACAGCGCGAGCGCGAUCUGGAGAUACUGACGCUGAGGUGCGAAGCGUGGGGAGCAAACAG
rnacentral:rRNA from 1 species